GCAAUCCUGAAUGACACUGACCAGUGGUUUGAAGAAGACAAAGAGGAUGAAUGGCGUAACAUCAUUACCAUAAAUGAUUCAAAUCAAGGCGAGCAAGGCUCUUCCAAAGAGAACUUUAGACCAGCCUUGGAAAAAGUCAACACACAGAUUGAGGUGAAGAUACAAAGACCUACCUUGAUCCAUUCCUGGGACAAUCAGUCUUCUGGAUCAACAAAUGAAGAGGAGAACUUCUGAAGAUCUUCACACAUUUGCGAACUUUAAGUCCAAUUUGAGGACAUCUCCAGUGAAAGUGCCAAGAUUUUGGCCAGGAAUAUACUUUUGGGAGACAAAGACAACAUUUUUUUUUUCAGCGGGAAAGUGGGGGAAUACAGUUCCGACACACUGCAUAUAUGUAACGGCAAAGGGUGUUGGGGUGUGCUGGAGGGUUCAUUGAUGCUGG